GUGCCAGCCGCCGCGGUAAUACGGAAGGUCCGGGCGUUAUCCGGAUUUAUUGGGUUUAAAGGGAGCGCAGGCUGAUGAUUAAGCGUGUUGUGAAAUGUACCGGCUCAACCGGUGACCUGCAGCGCGAACUGGUUGUCUUGAGUGGGUGCGACGUCAGCGGAAUUCGUGGUGUAGCGGUGAAAUGCUUAGAUAUCACGAAGAACCCCGAUUGCGAAGGCAGCUGACGAGUCCCUUACUGACGCUAAAGCUCGAAGGUGCGGGUAUCGAACAGGAUUAGAUACCCUGGUAGUCCGCACGGUAAACGAUGGAUGCCCGCUGUUGGCGAUACAUUGUCAGCGGCCAAGCGAAAGCGUUAAGCAUCCCACCUGGGGAGUACGCCGGCAACGGUGAAACUCAAAGGAAUUGACGGGGGCCCGCACAAGCGGAGGAACAUGUGGUUUAAUUCGAUGAUACGCGAGGAACCUUACCCGGGCUUGAACUGCAGAGGAAGGAAUGAGAGAUCAUGACGCCCUUCGGGGCCUCUGUGGAGGUGCUGCAUGGUUGUCGUCAGCUCGUGCCGUGAGGUGUCGGCUUAAGUGCCAUAACGAGCGCAACCCCUCUUGUCAGUUGCCAUCAGGUGAUGCUGGGCACUCUGGCGAUACUGCCACCGUAAGGUGCGAGGAAGGUGGGGAUGACGUCAAAUCAGCACGGCCCUUACGUCCGGGGCUACACACGUGUUACAAUGGGUGGUACAGAGAGUAAGUCCCCAGCAAUGUGGAUUCAAUCAUGAAAGCCAUCCUCAGUUCGGAUUGGGGUCUGCAACCCGACCCCAUGAAGCUGGAUUCGCUAGUAAUCGCGCAUCAGCCAUGGCGCGGUGAAUACGUUCCCGGGCCUUGUACACACCGCCCGU
rnacentral:rRNA from 1 species